ensembl:lncRNA
CUCUGCCCCACACCUGUGCCACUUCAGAGGCUGCAAGGCAUCACGCUCCAUAACACAAGGAAGCCCAUCACCUUCUCCACCCAUCUAUGGCUGCUGAGAGCCCCCCAGGCCUGCGACCCACACUUCACCAUUCCUCUUCUGCCCGCCUGGGGCAGCACUGGAGGAGGAAAACAGGGCAGGGGGAACAACGACAACAACGAAGAGAUUUUCCCAGCGCUGCUGAGCAGGAGAAGCCUGCAAUGGACACCUCCCUACAUCCAGCCCCGAGCAGCAGGAGAGGAAUGCUCAUCUGGAAGGGUAGGGAUGCUCCUUCAUAGGAUAAGAAGAGGGGAGAUGGGUGUGAGCACAGCUGCUGGGAGCAUCAGGCCAACAGCAUGAGCUCUCCCUCCACAAAGAGCCUUCCCGUGAACCUUUGCUGAAAACACUGAUUUCUUUUGCAAAGUGGUUUUGUCAAUGGCUUCCCUCAUCAUCACAGAGCUGCCGGAGCCCACAGCCCUGUCCAGAUGGGAGCACACCUGGAACGCACAGGUCUCUGCCUUUCAGAUCCUGGCCCAAGAAGCCACCCUACUCACUCAUUUUGUGCUAACAAGGAGCAGCACUCCGGGCAGCACCAGGCUGCAGAGACCCAGCACAGCCUCUCCUGACCCAGCCAAGGGCACCCAGCACCCCAGCAGCCUCCCAGCAGUGAGCCUGGAGGAAUCCGAGUGUUUGGGAAGGAAAGCAGAGCUACAGAGAGACAAUGUUGAAUGUAAAUAUCAGUUAAAUAUGCAUUACCAUA